rnacentral:rRNA from 1 species
GAAAAGAACUUUGAAGAGAGAGUUCAACAGUACGUGAAACCGUUUAGAGGUAAACGGACGGGAACGCAAAGUCUGCCGCUCGGAUUCAACUCGUUUGCCGGCGAGGAGGGGCUCGUUUCGCAUCUUUGCCCUCGUGGCGGGGAGCCUACGAUCCCUUCGUUCGUCUGCGACGGGCGCACUUUCGGGCGGCGGAGCGCCACGACCGGUUCACGGGCGAUCAAAAACCGUCGGAGGAGGUAACUUUCGCUUCGGCGAUAGCGCUAUAACUUCGGCGUGUCGACGACUCGCCUGUGGAUCGAGGAAGACCGAACGCGGCCCGGGGCGGAUCCGGCGGAUUGUUUCGGCGUUCAACUCGGGAGGACUGCUCGCGCAGUGCUUUCGGACCGCGCAGGGAUACGUUCGUCGGUUGUCUUCUCCGGGCUCGGGGUCGGUGGCGAAUCGGUCGUCAACCCGUCCGACCCGUCUUGAAACACGGACCAAGGAGUCUAACACGUGCGCGAGUCGCAGGGUUGUACGAAACCCGAGGGCGUAACGAAAGUGAACGAGAUCUUCGGAUCUAUCGGGUGGGAUCCCGAGGCCUACGGUCGAGGGCGCACCACCGGCCUGUCUCGGCCGCUACGUCGGCGAGGCGGAGCAAGAGCGUACGCGUUGG